rnacentral:rRNA from 1 species
GACGAACGCUGGCGGCGUGCUUAACACAUGCAAGUCGAACGGAAAGGCCCUGCUUUUGUGGGGUACUCGAGUGGCGAACGGGUGAGUAACACGUGAGUAACCUGCCCUUGACUUUGGGAUAACUUGAGGAAACUGGGGCUAAUACCGGCUAGGAGCUCCUGCUGCUUGGUGUGGGUUGGAAAGUUUCGGCGGUUGGGGAUUGACUCGCGGCUUAUUAGCUUGUUGGUGGGGUAGUGGCUUACCAAGGUGUUGACGGGUAGCCGGCCUGAGAGGGUGACCCGCCACAGUGGGACUGAGAUACGGGCCGGAGUCCUACGGGGGGCAGCAGUGGGGAAUAUUGCACGAUGGGCGGAAGCCUGAUGCAGCAACGCCGCGUGCGGGAUGACGGCCGUCGGGUUGUAAACCGCUUUAGCCUGUGACGAAGAGUGAGUGACGGUAAUGGGUAAAGAAGCACCGGCUAACUACGUG